AACAGGAUUAGAUACCCUGGUAGUCCAUGCCGUAAACGUUGGGCGCUAGGUGUGGGGUCCAUUCCACGGAUUCCGUGCCGCAGCUAACGCAUUAAGCGCCCCGCCUGGGGAGUACGGCCGCAAGGCUAAAACUCAAAGGAAUUGACGGGGGCCCGCACAAGCGGCGGAGCAUGCGGAUUAAUUCGAUGCAACGCGAAGAACCUUACCAAGGCUUGACAUGCGCGGUGGAAUCCCAGAGAUGGGGUGUCAUUUAGUUGGUCGCGUACAGGUGGUGCAUGGUUGUCGUCAGCUCGUGUCGUGAGAUGUUGGGUUAAGUCCCGCAACGAGCGCAACCCUCGUUCCAUGUUGCCAGCACGUAGUGGUGGGGACUCAUGGGAGACUGCCGGGGUCAACUCGGAGGAAGGUGGGGAUGACGUCAAAUCAUCAUGCCCCUUAUGUCUUGGGCUUCACGCAUGCUACAAUGGCCAGUACAGAGGGCUGCGAUACCGUGAGGUGGAGCGAAUCCCAAAAAGCUGGUCUCAGUUCGGAUCGGGGUCUGCAACUCGACCCCGUGAAGUCGGAGUCGCUAGUAAUCGCAGAUCAGCAACGCUGCGGUGAAUACGUUCCCGGGCCUUGUACACACCGCCCGUCACGUCAUGAAAGUCGGUAACACCCGAAGCCGGUGGCCCAACCCGUAUGGGGGGGAGCUGUCGAAGGUGGGACUGGCGAUUGGGACGAAGUCGUAACAAGGUAGCC
rnacentral:rRNA from 1 species